rnacentral:rRNA from 1 species
CCUACGGGAGGCAGCAGUAGGGAAUCUUCCGCAAUGGACGAAAGUCUGACGGAGCAACGCCGCGUGAGUGAUGAAGGUUUUCGGAUCGUAAAGCUCUGUUGUUAGGGAAGAACAAGUGCGAGAGUAACUGCUCGCACCUUGACGGUACCUAACCAGAAAGCCACGGCUAACUACGUGCCAGCAGCCGCGGUAAUACGUAGGUGGCAAGCGUUGUCCGGAAUUAUUGGGCGUAAAGGGCUCGCAGGCGGUUUCUUAAGUCUGAUGUGAAAGCCCCCGGCUCAACCGGGGAGGGUCAUUGGAAACUGGGAAACUUGAGUGCAGAAGAGGAAAGUGGAAUUCCAUGUGUAGCGGUGAAAUGCGUAGAGAUAUGGAGGAACACCAGUGGCGAAGGCGACUUUCUGGUCUGUAACUGACACUGAGGCGCGAAAGCGUGGGGAGCAAACAGGAUUAGAUACCCUGGUAGUCCACGCCGUAAACGAUGAGUGCUAAGUGUUAGAGGGUUUCCGCCCUUUAGUGCUGAAGUUAACGCAUUAAGCACUCCGCCUGGGGAGUACGGCCGCAAGGCUGAAACUCAAAGGAAUU